rnacentral:rRNA from 1 species
CCUACGGGUGGCAGCAGUGAGGAAUAUUGGUCAAUGGACGGGAGUCUGAACCAGCCAAGUCGCGUGCAGGAUGACAGCCCUAUGGGUUUUAAACUGCUUUUGUAAGGGAAUAAAGUGCGCCACGUGUGUCGGUUUGUAUGUAUCUUAUGAAUAAGCAUCGGCUAAUUCCGUGCCAGCAGCCGCGGUAAUACGGAGGAUGCGAGCGUUAUCCGGAUUUAUUGGGUUUAAAGGGAGCGUAGGCGGUUCCAUAAGUCAGCGGUAAAAUCGUGCGGCUCAACCUUACGGUGCCGUUGAAACUGUGGGACUGUAGUAUGCGCAGGGUACAUGGAAGGCGUGGUGUAGCGGUGAAAUGCUUAGAUAUCACGAAGAACUCCGAUCGCGAAGGCAUUGUACCGGAGCAAGACUGACGCUGAGGCUCGAAAGUGCGGGUAUCAAACAGGAUUAGAUACCCUUGUAGUC